AGCAGUGUGGCUCAGUGCAGAGAGCACGGGCUUGGGAGUCAGAGGUCAUGGGUUCAAAUCCCAACUAUGCCA
rnacentral:tRNA from 1 species